rnacentral:rRNA from 1 species
CGAAGGGGGCUAGCGUUGCUCGGAAUUACUGGGCGUAAAGGGCGCGUAGGCGGAUAGUUUAGUGAGAGGUGAAAGCCCAGGGCUCAACCUUGGAACUGCCUUUCAUACUGGCUAUCUUGAGUACGGGAGAGGUGAGUGGAACUCCGAGUGUAGAGGUGAAAUUCGUAGAUAUUCGGAAGAACACCAGUGGCGAAGGCGACUCACUGGCCCGUUACUGACGCUGAGGCGCGAAAGCGUGGGGAGCAAACAGGAUUAGAUACCCUGGUAGUCCACGCCGUAAACGAUGAGUGCUAGUUGUCGGCAUGCAUGCAUGUCGGUGACGCAGCUAACGCAUUAAGCACUCCGCCUGGGGAGUACGGUCGCAAGAUUA